rnacentral:lncRNA from 1 species
CCAGCCCGCUCAUUCAAUUUCUUAAGGAGACUUGGGUCCUGGGCAAGAGUUGGAGCUGCCGUGGGUGAGUCGCGGCGAUUGCCUGCCAAGCAUGCUGUGGUCGGAUCUGCCCAGCCGAGGAGCAGAGACAUUGGCCGGAUGGAAAAUCCAUAAAAGAAAGCUCUUCUGAAAAGCUGAGACAGACGAGAACUUCCGCAGACUCAGUUAAAAACCAACAAAGGAAGCCCUGCAUUGUAGCCACUUCAGUCCAAGUUGUCAUAUUAAAACUGCGAGGGCACUGAAG